GGUGGCGACCGGCGCACGGGUGAGUAACGCGUAUGCAACCUACCUUAUACAGGAGUAUAGCCCGAAGAAAUUCGGAUUAAUCCUCCAUAGUAUUUUCUAAUGGCAUCAUUUGGAAAAUUAAAGCUUCGGCGGUAUAAGAUGGGCAUGCGUCCUAUUAGCUAGAUGGUAAGGUAAUGGCUUACCAUGGCAACGAUAGGUAGGGGGCCUGAGAGGGUGAUCCCCCACACUGGUACUGAGACACGGACCAGACUCCUACGGGAGGCAGCAGUGAGGAAUAUUGGGCAAUGGAGGCAACUCUGACCCAGCCAUGCCGCGUGCAGGAAGAAUGCCCUAUGGGUUGUAAACUGCUUUUAUUUAGGAAUAAACCCUUCUACGUGUAGAAGGCUGAAUGUACUAAACGAAUAAGCACCGGCUAACUCCGUGCCAGCAGCCGCGGUAAUACGGAGGGUGCAAGCGUUAUCCGGAAUCAUUGGGUUUAAAGGGUCCGCAGGCGGACGUAUAAGUCAGUGGUGAAAUCCUGCAGCUUAACUGCAGAACUGCCAUUGAUACUGUACGUCUUGAAUUCGGUCGAAGUGGGCGGAAUGUGUAGUGUAGCGGUGAAAUGCAUAGAUAUUACACAGAACACCGAUAGCGAAGGCAGCUCACUAGGCCUGGAUUGACGCUCAGGGACGAAAGCGUGGGGAUCAAACAGGAUUAGAUACCCCUGGUAGUCCACGCUGUAAACGAUGAUUACUCGUUUUCGGCGAUAUACAGUCGG
rnacentral:rRNA from 1 species